rnacentral:lncRNA from 10 species
CAUCAUUGUGGUGGUGGGAAUUCCUCUUGUUGUCUUCAGGGGGCCCUACCUUUGCUGGGUCAGGAAGGGGAGGUCAGGCCAACAUCUAGAUUCUGACAGAAUCUUCCUGCAUGACGGGAAUUUCAACAUCUAUUCAACAACACAAAAGUCAGUGCCACUGUGAACAUCAGACUGAAGUCUGAGAUCUUCCCGGAGACCAGCUGGCCAAAAGAUGUCAUUGAUGCCUAGCUCUGGGCAGGCAGAAGAGACCCGGAGCCUGUUACAAACGCCUUCUCCUUCUUCUUGGAGUUGGUUCUGGCUUUCAUAAUUCACAGUGGAUCCAGAGUUGCAGAGAUAAUUCUUAGUCUUGGGCCAUUCUGGAUAUAUCAUUCUUCCUCAUAGACCAUUCUGGAUACGUCUUUGUGGCCAAAAAAGAGUUAAAUAGCUGCAAGGUUGUUGAUUUGUUUACAAAAAAGAAGAAGAAGAAGAAGAAGAAGAAGAAGAAGAAGAAGAAGAAGAACAAGAAGAAGAAGAAGAAGAAGAAGAAGAAAGGAGAAGAAAAAGAGGAAGAGGAAGAAGAGGAAGAGGAGGAAAAGGAAGAAGAAGAAGAAGAAGAAGAAGAAGAAGAAGAAGAAGAAGAAGAAGAAGAAGAAGAAGAAGAAAACUGCUCAGAAAGGACAAGAAAAGCUUCAUUUCCUAGCCAUUAACUGAAAACCACCUUUCUUAGGACAGGUUGACCUCUAAAGUGUUGACUGAUCCAUCCAGAAAAAAAUGUAGAUAAAUGAUGUCUCUUUUUAGCAUUUCAUACCAAUAAACAAGGUGGGAAAGAAGGAAUUUCACCAAGAUAUCAGCAGAAACAUAACUUUGGAGGAGAAAUAAUUUCCUCUUCAUUACCAGUUAAUGAAAACAAGCUUCUGCCCACCAGCACUCUGAAUUGCUGUCACUGUGGUGAGGUGGUGUGACAGGAACUUGGGGUAACGCCUUAGGCCUCUGGCAAGGAUUCUUACAUCAGAGCUAAUAGGUGAAUGUGUCUCAUUCAAGGUGGGUGCU